rnacentral:rRNA from 1 species
CGGACGGGUGAGUAAUGUCUGGGAAACUGCCUGAUGGAGGGGGAUAACUACUGGAAACGGUAGCUAAUACCGCAUAACGUCGCAAGACCAAAGAGGGGGACCUUCGGGCCUCUUGCCAUCGGAUGUGCCCAGAUGGGAUUAGCUAGUAGGUGGGGUAACGGCUCACCUAGGCGACGAUCCCUAGCUGGUCUGAGAGGAUGACCAGCCACACUGGAACUGAGACACGGUCCAGACUCCUACGGGAGGCAGCAGUGGGGAAUAUUGCACAAUGGGCGCAAGCCUGAUGCAGCCAUGCCGCGUGUAUGAAGAAGGCCUUCGGGUUGUAAAGUACUUUCAGCGGGGAGGAAGGGAGUAAAGUUAAUACCUUGCUCAUGACGUAACCGCAGAAAGAAGCACCCGGCUAAACUCCGUGCCCAGCAGCCGCGGUAAUACGGAGGGGUGCAAGCGUUAAUCGGAAUUACUGGGCGUAAAGCGCACGCAGGCGGUUUGUUAAGUCAGAUGUGAAAUCCCCGGGCUCAACCUGGGAACUGCAUCUGAUACUGGCAAGCUUGAGUCUCGUAGAGGGGGGGUAGAAUUCCAGGUGUAGCGGUGAAAUGCGUAGAGAUCUGGAGGAAUACCGGUGGCGAAGGCGGCCCCCUGGACGAAGACUGACGCUCAGGUGCGAAAGCGUGGGGAGCAAACAGGAUUAGAUACCCUGGUAGUCCACGCCGUAAACGAUGUCGACUUGGAGGUUGUGCCCUUGAGGCGUGGCUUCCGGAGCUAACGCGUUAAGUCGACCGCCUGGGGAGUACGGCCGCAAGGUUAAAACUCAAAUGAAUUGACGGGGGCCCGCACAAGCGGUGGAGCAUGUGGUUUAAUUCGAUGCAACGCGAAGAACCUUACCUGGUCUUGACAUCCACAGAACUUUCCAGAGAUGGAUUGGUGCCUUCGGGAACUGUGAGACAGGUGCUGCAUGGCUGUCGUCAGCUCGUGUUGUGAAAUGUUGGGUUAAGUCCCGCAACGAGCGCAACCCUUAUCCUUUGUUGCCAGCGGUCCGGCCGGGAACUCAAAGGAGACUGCCAGUGAUAAACUGGAGGAAGGUGGGGAUGACGUCAAGUCAUCAUGGCCCUUACGACCAGGGCUACACACGUGCUACAAUGGCGCAUACAAAGAGAAGCGACCUCGCGAGAGCAAGCGGACCUCAUAAAGUGCGUCGUAGUCCGGAUUGGAGUCUGCAACUCGACUCCAUGAAGUCGGAAUCGCUAGUAAUCGUGGAUCAGAAUGCCACGGUGAAUACGUUCCCGGGCCUUGCACACACCGCCCGUC